rnacentral:rRNA from 1 species
GACGAACGCUGGCGGCGUGCUUAACACAUGCAAGUCGAACGGAAAGGCCCUGCUUUUGUGGGGUGCUCGAGUGGCGAACGGGUGAGUAACACGUGAGUAACCUGCCCUUGACUUUGGGAUAACUUCAGGAAACUGGGGCUAAUACCGGAUAGGAGCUCCUGAUGCAUGGUGGGGGUUGGAAAGUUUCGGCGGUUGGGGAUGGACUCGCGGCUUAUCAGCUUGUUGGUGGGGUAGUGGCUUACCAAGGCUUUGACGGGUAGCCGGCCUGAGAGGGUGACCGGCCACAUGAGGACUGAGAUACGGCCCAGACGCCUACUGGAGGCAUCGGUGGAGAAUAUUGCACAAUGAGCGGAAGCCUGAUGCAGCAACGCCGCGUGCGGAAUGACGGCCUUCGGGUUGUAAACCGCUUUCGCCUGUGACGAAGCGUGAGUGACGGUAAUGGAUAAAGAAGCACCGGCUAACUACGUG